UGAGACCCUCUUCCCGGCACUCUCUUAAGUCUGCUUACUGCAACCUCUGCCUCCCAGGUUCCAGUGAUUGUUCCACCUCAACCUCCCGAGUAGCUGGGAUUACAAAUGCCAGUCAACAUGCCCAGCUAAUUUUUGUAGUUUUAGUAUAGACGGGUUUUCACCAUGUUGGCCAGGUUGGUUUCAAACUCUGACCUCAGGUGAUCCGCGUUUCUUGGCCUCCCAAAGUGCUGGGAUUAAAGAUGUGAGCCACUGUGCCUGGCCAGCCUGGUUUUAAUGUUCAUAGGAUAUCACUACCUGUGCUGGUCACCUCCAGGGUCUAGGGCAGAUAGUGGGGUGGUUCUGCAAUUUUCAAGCUGUGGGAAAUUGAACACUUCUUAAACCAUACUCUUUAAUCCUCAUUCAUUCAUUCAUUCAUUCACUCAUUGAGCACUUGUAAUGUGGCCAGGAGUGUUCUAGAUACAGGAUAUACUGCUGGAAACAAGAUAGCAGAUUUUCUUACAUGACAGAAGAGGAAGACAGAAGACAAAGAGAUCAACUGUGAAAAUACCAGAUUGGAAUGAGCGUUAUUCAGAUAUGGUGAAGUUUCCUCUUUACGUGCUCCAGUUGGGUCUUGUACGUUCUCUCCAGUUUUGCCUAGUACCCUGUAAUUAUUUCUUUGUAUAUUUGUCUUCUCCAUUGGAAUUCAAAUUUAUGAAGAGACAAAACGUUGUCAGUUUGCUUCUAAAUUCCCACUUCCUACAUGAUGUCAGCUACAGUGAAUGUGCUCAGUUAAUGCUUGUUCAUAUUUUCAAUACUGACUUCAUGUUUGGGCACAUCUUAUAUUUUCCUAUUCGUGUUUCCUUUAUUUUUAAUUUCUUAACAUACCUUUAAAAAUGUAUGUACUUUUAUAAACUACUGUAAAUCUUUCUGGAAUGAGAAAAGCUUGUACAAGUAAGCAGCAAACAAACAAAUAAAUACAUGUGUAAAUAAACC
rnacentral:lncRNA from 1 species